ensembl:lncRNA
AUGGUGACCCAUACUCAGAAUUCGUGCUCUGCAUUUAACCCAUCCGAAGUGCACACACACAGAGCAGUGAACACACACACACACUGUGAACACACACCCGGAGCAGUGGGCAGCCAUUUAUGCUGCGGCGCCCGGGGAGCAGUUGUGGGUUCGAUUCCUUGCUCAAGGGCACCUAAGUCAUCAGUGAACACACGCACACCGUGAACACACACCCCGACUAGUGGGCAGCCAUUUAUGCUGCAGCGCCCAGGGAGCAGUUGGGGGUUCGGUGCCUUGCUAAAGGGCACCUCAGUUGUGGUAUUGCCAGCCAGAGACUCGAACCCACAACCUUAGGGUUAGGAGUUAAACUCUCUAUGAAGCCGGGAAACAUACUGUCAGGCCGAUUAUGAAUGUAAUUUGAGCUCAGUCAGUGUUUUCAGUCUGCGUUCAAAGUCGUUUGGUGUGCGGUGUCUAAAGAAUUUAAGACCAGCUGUUGCCAGUCGUCCUCACAAAGAUUAGCCUAUUUUUUUUUUUUAUAUAGGCCUAUAUACAUUUUGUGACUGACGCCGGCAAUUAACUGAACCUGUUUCCUUAUUUGUAGCCUUUAUUUAAUUUGUUAUUUUCAAUUAAUGUAGGCCUAUUAUAUUCUUCUGAUUAUGAGGCCUUUUCAUAUUAUUAAGUUACUUUUAUUCUUAAAUUAAUAUUACAAUUAUUUUGCCCCACAAUAAUUUCGUAGUGCAUCACCACAAAACUGACGCUGUCACAGUCAUGGACUUCUGUUCUUUUGUGUAAUCCCUAUUUGGUCAUGUUCUGUUCCUAGUUUAGUUAAUUGAUUACUCCCCACCUGUUUCCAUUCCUCUCAUUACUUUCCUUGUGUUUAAAUAACCUGUCUGUUCAGUUCUGUUUUGUCCGCUAUUGAUGUAUUAAACCCCGAUUUGGAUUUGUGUUUGGAUGUACCCUUUUUCUCUAAUGGAUCAUUAAAAGAACUAUUUUUGAUAUCUCCUUCGUUGAGCGUUUACUUAGCACACCUACACGUGUUACAGAAUAGUGGACUGAAAAGUAAGUAAGUUAGUGGCGUUUUUCUUUCGUUCUUGUUUU